GGGUUGUGAGGUUAAGCGACUAAGCGUACACGGUGGAUGCCCUGGCAGUCAGAGGCGAUGAAGGACGUGCUAAUCUGCGAAAAGCGUCGGUAAGGUGAUAUGAACCGUUAUAGCCGGCGAUGUCCGAAUGGGGAAACCCAGUGUGAUUCGUCACACUAUCGUUAACUGAAUACAUAGGUUAACGAGGCGAACCGGGGGAACUGAAACAUCUAAGUACCCCGAGGAAAAGAAAUCAACCGAGAUUCCCCCAGUAGCGGCGAGCGAACGGGGAGCAGCCCAGAGUCUGAAUCAGCUUGUGUGUUAGUGGAACGGUCUGGAAAGUCCGACGGUACAGGGUGAUAGUCCCGUACACCAAAAUGCACAGGCUGUGAACUCGAAGAGUAGGGCGGGACACGUGGUAUCCUGUCUGAAUAUGGGGGGACCAUCCUCCAAGGCUAAAUACUCCUGACUGACCGAUAGUGAACCAGUACCGUGAGGGAAAGGCGAAAAGAACCCCGGCGAGGGGAGUGAAAAAGAACCUGAAACCGUGUACGUACAAGCAGUGGGAGCACCUUCGGGUGUGACUGCGUACCUUUUGUAUAAUGGGUCAGCGACUUAUAUUCUGUAGCAAGGUUAACCGUAUAGGGGAGCCGCAGGGAAACCGAGUCUUAACUGGGCGUUAAGUUGCAGGGUAUAGACCCGAAACCCGGUGAUCUAGCCAUGGGCAGGUUGAAGGUUGGGUAACACUAACUGGAGGACCGAACCGACUAAUGUUGAAAAAUUAGCGGAUGACUUGUGGCUGGGGGUGAAAGGCCAAUCAAACCGGGAGAUAGCUGGUUCUCCCCGAAAGCUAUUUAGGUAGCGCCUCGUGAAUUCAUCUUCGGGGGUAGAGCACUGUUUCGGCUAGGGGGUCAUCCCGACUUACCAACCCGAUGCAAACUACGAAUACCGAAGAAUGUUAUCACGGGAGACACACGGCGGGUGCUAACGUCCGUCGUGAAGAGGGAAACAACCCAGACCGCCAGCUAAGGUCCCAAAGUCAUGGUUAAGUGGGAAACGAUGUGGGAAGGCACAGACAGCCAGGAUGUUGGCUUAGAAGCAGCCAUCAUUUAAAGAAAGCGUAAUAGCUCACUGGUCGAGUCGGCCUGCGCGGAAGAUGUAACGGGGCUAAACCAUGCACCGAAGCUGCGGCAGCGACACUAUGUGUUGUUGGGUAGGGGAGCGUUCUGUAAGCCUGCGAAGGUGACCUGUGAGGGUUGCUGGAGGUAUCAGAAGUGCGAAUGCUGACAUAAGUAACGAUAAAGCGGGUGAAAAGCCCGCUCGCCGGAAGACCAAGGGUUCCUGUCCAACGUUAAUCGGGGCAGGGUGAGUCGACCCCUAAGGCGAGGCCGAAAGGCGUAGUCGAUGGGAAACAGGUUAAUAUUCCUGUACUUGGUGUUACUGCGAAGGGGGGACGGAGAAGGCUAUGUUAGCCGGGCGACGGUUGUCCCGGUUUAAGCAUGUAGGCUGGUUGUCCAGGCAAAUCCGGAUAAUCAAGGCUGAGGUGUGAUGACGAGGCACUACGGUGCUGAAGUAACAAAUGCCCUGCUUCCAGGAAAAGCCUCUAAGCAUCAGGUAACAUUAAAUCGUACCCCAAACCGACACAGGUGGUCAGGUAGAGAAUACCAAGGCGCUUGAGAGAACUCGGGUGAAGGAACUAGGCAAAAUGGUGCCGUAACUUCGGGAGAAGGCACGCUGGUGUGUAGGUGAAGUCCCUGCGGAUGGAGCUGAGACCAGUCGAAGAUACCAGCUGGCUGCAACUGUUUAUUAAAAACACAGCACUGUGCAAACACGAAAGUGGACGUAUACGGUGUGACGCCUGCCCGGUGCCGGAAGGUUAAUUGAUGGGGUUAUCCGUAAGGAGAAGCUCUUGAUCGAAGCCCCGGUAAACGGCGGCCGUAACUAUAACGGUCCUAAGGUAGCGAAAUUCCUUGUCGGGUAAGUUCCGACCUGCACGAAUGGCGUAAUGAUGGCCAGGCUGUCUCCACCCGAGACUCAGUGAAAUUGAACUCGCUGUGAAGAUGCAGUGUACCCGCGGCAAGACGGAAAGACCCCGUGAACCUUUACUAUAGCUUGACACUGAACAUUGAGCCUUGAUGUGUAGGAUAGGUGGGAGGCUUUGAAGCGUGGACGCCAGUCUGCGUGGAGCCAACCUUGAAAUACCACCCUUUAAUGUUUGAUGUUCUAACGUUGGCCCCUUACCGGGGUUGCGGACAGUGUCUGGUGGGUAGUUUGACUGGGGCGGUCUCCUCCCAAAGCGUAACGGAGGAGCACGAAGGUUAGCUAAUCCUGGUCGGACAUCAGGAGGUUAGUGCAAUGGCAUAAGCUAGCUUGACUGCGAGCGUGACGGCGCGAGCAGGUGCGAAAGCAGGUCAUAGUGAUCCGGUGGUUCUGAAUGGAAGGGCCAUCGCUCAACGGAUAAAAGGUACUCCGGGGAUAACAGGCUGAUACCGCCCAAGAGUUCAUAUCGACGGCGGUGUUUGGCACCUCGAUGUCGGCUCAUCACAUCCUGGGGCUGAAGUAGGUCCCAAGGGUAUGGCUGUUCGCCAUUUAAAGUGGUACGCGAGCUGGGUUUAGAACGUCGUGAGACAGUUCGGUCCCUAUCUGCCGUGGGCGCUGGAGAAUUGAGGGGGGCUGCUCCUAGUACGAGAGGACCGGAGUGGACGCAUCACUGGUGUUCGGGUUGUCAUGCCAAUGGCACUGCCCGGUAGCUAAAUGCGGAAGAGAUAAGUGCUGAAAGCAUCUAAGCACGAAACUUGCCCCGAGAUGAGUUCUCCCUGAGACUUUAAGUCUCCUGAAGGAACGUUGAAGACGACGACGUUGAUAGGCCGGGUGUGUAAGCGCAGCGAUGCGUUGAGCUAACCGGUACUAAUGAACCGUGAGGCUUAACCUUACAACGCCGAAG
rnacentral:rRNA from 1 species